ensembl:lncRNA
GUAAUACGUCAACUUUUUUACACAUUUUGGUAAAAAGGGAUAGUUGCCAAGGCUUCCCAUGAAGCCCAGUAUGGAACUCAUGAAGCCAAUACACGUACAUCACACACCUUUCAUUUUCACAGCUGUACUUCAGGAUUGUAAAAUGGCUUCAAUGAAAAAUCAAAAGCAACAAAAACCCUCAAAGCUGAACGGUCGUCUCUAGCAUCUCAUGGGUUCUGUGGCAGUGUGUAAAGCUAAAGGAAGCCAAACUUCCAGCAGUGAGCUUGUUGUUGGGUCCUGGGUGGUGUGCAGUGCAUGUCCGCUGCUGAGCUAGUGGAGUGUUUGCCUGACUUCUGUGCUGGGCUCUGCUGAUGGACAGCCUGCAUGGCAGCUUGGGGCAGAGCUCGUACAUCAGUUAUAAUCUCUGGCUGUCUAAAACUGCUUAAAAACAAGUCCACAAUGGCUGAUGGCAUCUCUUCCUCCUAGUAACAGGAGGGCUUGGUCCAUGCUGCUUUAGCAAGCUCUUUUUGGGAGAGUGAAGCAGUGGGGAGCAAAUAGAGGCCUAGCCAAGCCUGUCCCUAGGCAGGAGGGGGCCCAGCUCAGGUGUUACAAGCAAAUCUGCCCCAAGGGUGCCCUGCUGCUCUCAUCCUCCAUGCUGCCCUAACGGCACUAACGCGUUUUGGCAGCAAAACUGAAUCUUGGUUUGGUGAGCAAAGCAGGCAUUUUGAAAGCUCCAAAUGGAGGCCUGAGCUGAUAGUAAAUGAAGGCUAUAUGAAGUUUGGGACAUUCAUUCAGCUGCUCAGCGCUUUGUUCAUUGCUUCAUUUUUUUCCUAAGGGUAGUUAUAAAGUGUUCAGUGCAUGGAAGCUGUGCUCACCCAGUGCAGGGUGCAACUCUGCACACACAGAGUUAGGGCAGUGACUGCUGCUUUAUCUGCACAAUGAACUGCAGCAGCUCCAGAAGGGAGGGAUUAGAGAUCUCUGUGGAACACAUUUAUCUGGUGGUCUGGAACAUGGAUUGCAGUAAGGAAAUAAAUUUGUAGCACAUCAAGGCAUAGCCAUUUCAGUGCAUCAGACACAACACAGCUUCCUUCUUUAGACAGUGGUGUUGAGUAUGCAGGAAGGGAAAAUAUUUUCUCUGGGAGGCAGGGCAUGCAGCUGUCAGUGACUUCUCCUCGUGUGCUGAAAGCACAGAACAGAACUGCCCACAGCUGGGCCUGGCAGAGUGCUGUUGGUUUCAGUCUGGCCUUGGUGCUUACAACGCAGUUACAGGACGCAAGCCAGACCCGUGUCUGCUUUAAACUCCUGGAGCAGGAGCUGUGGUUAUGGUGCAGCUCUUCCAUAGCAGUGCUGGGGGGCACCAGGCUUGGUGCUCCUACCCCUGGUAGCCCUGCCCUUCUGUGCCGCUGCAGUGCUGCUUCAGAUGCGCUUCUGCAGAGUCUGCAGCAAUGCUGGAGCCUCUGAAAACGUGCUUGCCUAGUGGUUGAACUGUGAAUAGUUGUGGAAGAGGCGCAAUGCUUUUGCUCUCCAUAUAAUCAGUCUUUAAUGGCCGCAGGACUGGAUCGAGCAGUGAUUGCAGAUCAAGUGCUCAAAACCAUUGGAGCUAUUUAGUUUAUUUCUUAGAGUAUGCAUUAGAAAUCUUGAUGCAUGGAGUGAAUCUGCUGCAACUUGGGAUAACUAUAGAUAACUAUACAGAUCAUUGUAGGAAUCUACUGGGAAUGUGAUCUGACAUCCACACUAUGGCGUUUUAUUGCCUUCACUUAUACACAAAGAAGUGCAACUUGUGCAAACUUUACUCCCCAGUACUAAAGCACUGGGCACUGUGCAGUGUUACUGCAGUGCCUUGACAGCUUGGCUCAGUGGUGCCAGUUCCUCCUGCGGGUGUGAUUUUGGGUUGAAGACUGUUGAUGGAUUGAUUCAAGUGUGGAUUUGAAAAAUUCCACCCAGAGUUGGCCAUCAAACUUGAUGAGUAACUUAAUGGAUACUGAAUGUGGAACUGUGCGUUUAUUUGCUGCUGGUGCUAUUCUUUGUAGAGAAUUAGAACUUUGUAGUACUGUGCAAUGGUAUGGAGAGAACCCAAGGGAAAAGAGAGGAGUGUGGCAGGUGGCAUGGGACCUGCUGGGGCACGAGCUGCUGUGGGUUUGUCCCAACUGUUGCUGUGGCCAUCAGAGCCCCAGGGCUCCACAGAGCGCAGGACAUGUCUCACCUGCUGCUCCUGUGCAUUGACUGCUAACAUGAGCGUCUUCCUUAUGGUUCUAAGCCUUGUUUCCAAAAAAUAACUCCAAACAAACGAGCAGAGUUGAACACCGCAUGGUUAGUGGCUGCCUCGGGUCUGACGCAGCGUGCUGGCUGAGGCUGUGCCAUUCGUAUUCACUGGAAGAGAACAGGCAUUGUGAAGGUCUGGGUCUUGCAGUCCUGUGUUCUGCGACGUGGCCUUUGUGGCAGGAAUCCUUGAUCAGUUGGGUACCUGAUUCUUUUGAGCUCCCUCUGCUUGAAAUGUGUGCACGUGAACUUUUCCUUUCAUAUUGAAAAGGAAGAUGCUUAGCCUGAAACUGAAAAUUGUUCAGUGUUUCAAUAUACAGCAAAACACAAAUUUUGAAGGCUUUUGUUCUUUUCAAGCAAGUAGUAAAAGAUAAGUGUGCUUAUUUCUGUUGUGUGCAGAGACACUGGUGUUAAUUUUUUUUCUCUGGAUUAUCAAAGAUUGUAUCUUUGUUUUUAUAUUCUCAGUUGAAGUGAAAUACAUGAGAUUGUAAGAUGGGAGGCCAUAACUCCUUCACCGUGAAGUACGUAGGUAUCUCUACCUCUUGUUAGACUUGAAUAGUUCAAGUUGACCAUCCUUCUCUCCCAGGCUGUGAUGCUUGGAUAAGUAAUGUACACUUUUUAAUUGACCCCUGUUAAGUGUUACCUAUUUACCUUACUUUUUGGUAUCCUGCUUUUAGUCUGCAUGCAGUCAACCCUUUGGAAGGGAGCAAAGCCAAGCUGGUAAGGGACACGUCAGUCCUCCAGGGAGUGAGUUUUGGAGUGCAGUGGUGAGCGGAGCCGCUCCCUUGUGGCUCAGGGCCUUUCAGCAUCGUGCCUUCUCUUUCCAUUUCAGGCCACAAUAAAUGGGAGACAGAGCAACUGCUCCCCAAGAAGGGACUGUUUGGCCCUUUCAUUUGCCCUUGAAAAGCACCAGGAACCCACCUGAUGCAGUGCUAUGAGCUGUGACAACAAAAAGUGAAGGCUGCAAAAGUGUGAGGGUUGCACAGCUGCUGCUUCCUCCCUGCGCUCGGUGUCUGCUCGGGAUGAACGCCGUAUGCUUAAAGCAGAGUUGAGAGUGCUCGAGCAUGCUGGAGAUGCCGGGAGGUUCUCCUCCUUUUCUGUUCUUAAAAAGCUUCUAUCUUUGCAUAAUUGCACCCUGGAGAUAAAAUCUCUUUCUAGAUGACAUGCAUUUUACACACAGAAAAAACACAUUUGUCUGCAAUGCUCUUGCUUGCAGAUUCUCCUUGGGCUGUGGGUUGGCUGCGGCUGGGACAGCGCACUUGAAUGUUGCCGAUGGAGCUGUCCCUGUGCCACGGGAGUGGCUCUAGUUAAGCUUAGCUAUCUUAAAAAUAUACAUUCUUUCUUAUCUGUAAGUUUAAAUGGUCUCUCAGAAAGAAAAUGGGCCACCAGGAGUGGUGGGAAGGCCUCAUGCUGCGAGUUGUCCAUUAUUCAGAGUUCCAAGAGAGAUGGAUGUGACUGCAGGAUGAGGCUCUCACCUGGCACUGCUGGGCUCCAUCCCGGCCGACCUGGGGCACAAAGUGAGCCCGCAUUGCUGCAGCUGCACGGAGUGGGAGGGAGCACUGACAGAGCCAGCCCGGAGAGCUGCAGCUCACAGCACAGACACUUGUUGUGAAGCUCAGCCCCAGCAUGGCCGCAUCGCCCUAUAUGGAACGAAUGUGUUUUGGUAGUGUAUCUACUCUCGGAGAAGUAAAUAAUUGUAAGGAAACAGUGAAAGCAGCACACCUUUGUGCAGCUUCCACCGAACUGUAUGUGAACACAGCUAGCUUCCAGUCUCCUCAGUAAGCCCUCAAGGGUACUUGGGAUCAAAUCUACCGUUUUCCGUAUCGGGAGUAAUCCUUGCUUUUCGGACUUAUCAGCAGAUACCACUUCUGAUCCACUUUUCUCACCCUGGGAAAUGAUGAAUGUAUUGUCGUGGAGCAGAACCAAGCUUCCUCCUCCAGCCGGCACCAUCACAAGUUGCUGCGGAGUUGUAAUGCUUGAAAUGGCUGCAGAUAAUUCUUUUUCAUGCAGGAUGUCUUUAUCGAGGGAUGUGCCCAAGUGUGAAGCCGUGAUCUGGAGAAGUGGGAAAAGUUUGAGGUGACGCAUCUAUACUGAGUCUCAUCUGCUUUGUUGUUUUACAAAUACUUCUGUUGUUGUUUUGCUCACCAUUACCGUCUGGAACAGAAUGGAAACAGCAUCCCACAGAAUGUGCAAUCUGAGGCACAGUGCACAUAGGUUGUGAUGAGAAGGUUGUUGUUACUUGAUAGCAAUCCUGAGUGCAAUGUUCGGUCCCUUUUGGAAGAAAAGCAUUAAGGUUUUUCUUUACUUACAAGCAAAGCAUCAGUUUGUCCAUUACUGACAUCUUGUGGAGUUUGUGCCAGAUGUAUAUUAAAUAUUUUGGUGCUUUUUCUAAUCCAAGUUGCCAUUCAUUCACCCGUGAGAUUGUUGUACUUUUGUAUAUUAAAGCGUCGACACACCCGUUAAGAAAAAACAGAAAAAAAA